GGUAGAUUCAAAAUUAUUCUUCAUUUUAUGUGUAAGCAGGGCACUAACCAUCAAGAAAAAAGAAUCAAUGAAUUUCAUUGAUCAGUGUAAUUGAUAAGUCACAUAAUGGUUCAACUAUUAUAAAGGUCUGUCGUGAAGAAUGAAGUCUGCUUAUGAUAACAUGUCACAUGACAAAAUCAACAUAAAUGGGCAAAUUUAUGUAGAACUGGAGCUUGCCUGCUGAUCGGAUCAGACGUGCUCUGUCUGAGCUCCCGCAUCUGUGUCCGAAAACCAGGUUUAACUGCGAGCCACAUGCUGAUACCAACCCAAAUCAAUGACUAACCUACUAAGCUGCCGACAGUGUACACGGUGAUACCUUACACAACUCCAUACGGCAUUGAAGUAACCCGAUCGAGGCCUGAGGCCUACCUAAGCUUGAGCUGGUGUGAGACGGCCGCUCUCCUAGUUCUCCAAUCUGUGCUUUGCUGUCCCCCCCCCCUGGGCCGGUGGGGUUAUCCUGGUCCCCACAGAUGACCAACUCUGACUACAGCUGCAACCAAGCACCUGCACUGUUGUAGAUUACAGACUGGGAAGUUCACCUUAAGAUGACUGACAAUCAACAGCCUUGUGCACAGCAUCCUGCCAAGACAAUGCAGAGUGCAAGUGACCUCAUAUUGCAACACUUGGCUAUGAUGUUCGACAGCUUCAGGGUUAAGUUAUCUGCCCACCUCGAGGUGCCAAAGGCUCCGGGUGCGGAGAGCAAGCAGAGGGAAGAGAGGCAGGAGAAGAGCGGGCCUCCCAUGGGCGCUCCUUCUACAGCAGUUUUGCAGCUUCCCACGAUGGGCCUACCCAGGCUUAAGACCAACAGGGAUGUACUCCCAGUUCAUCAACCACUGAUGCGGAGGAUCCAAUGCCGCAGACGGUGAUUGUCCAUUGAGAUUCAACGCUGUCCCAUGGAAAGGGAAGAACUUUGCCUCCCUUAUGAGCAACUAAGUUUGUGGCCCAUGGUUACAGGCCUUCACAAUGGCCUGAGGCUUUGGGGAGGACAUACUUGGACUCUGCCUCUUGCUGUCAUCCUACCCCUUACACCUGCCACCAAGCUGGGGCAUAGGUUGAAUCUGGACUUUACACCCCAAGCACUCAGAUGGCUGGCGCACUAGCCCAUACACUGGAUUGCCCUACUGAUUAUAGCAUGCCAUCCUGCAUCUACAUUCUUACACCUGGCACUAACAUACACUAGCUAUGACAGACACAUCCAAACACAAAGCACUCACCAUCAUACCCAUCUUGUGGAGACAGUGCCCGACUCAUGUAACAUGCAACCAUCCACUAAGGUGGAACUUGCUGUUUAUGCGAUCAUAAUACUCUCAAGUAAAUCUAACCUGAAACACUCUGUUUUUUGUUUGUACAUGCCAUCGUAGUAUACUCAUGGAGACCUAGCCUGAUAUAUGAUGAUUUUAGCAUGUCUACUUUACAACAAUCCAUUCAUGAAUAUCUAGCCCAAGGAUAGGCAACCUUCGGCACUCCAGAUGUUGUGGACUACAUCCCCCAUAAUGAUCUUAUACCCAUAAUGCUGACAAAGCAUCAUGGGAAGUGUAGUCUAAAACAUCUAGAGUGCCUUGCCUGUAACCGUUCGUACUCCAAUUUACCGCUAUAACGUCUUAUAACUUAGAAUUUAGCAGGGCUAACCAUACAGAUAUCUUAGCUAAAUAUUGUAUAGUCGGUAUAGAGUUUCUCUAUUUAAAAUACAUAAAUAAUUGAGAAUACAAUAAAAAUAGGAGUUGGAAG